rnacentral:lncRNA from 1 species
ACGGCGCACGGAGGAGGUGCAAGGACUCCAGCAAGGACGAUCGAGCGGCCACCACUAGAUCCGUCAAGGAGGAGGUCAGGUCUGGCAGUCUUGUGUGGUGGCGGGGCUCCCUGACGGCUGCAGUGCGCAGGUGCGGCAGCGGUGGCGUGCAGGAGUGGCGCAUAGAUGGGCUUGGCGGGCAUGUGGGCUUGCAGUUUAUCCAUAGUUUUUUCUUUUUUCUGUUUUUUCUAUUCGAUUUAUCAAGGCGAGCAACAAACCGCCACAGUAAAGGUCACAUGUACCGUUACUUUUAUUCCAAGUCGGUAGUGGGCGGUGGUGGUUGGCACAAAGAUCUUUCGAAAAAAUGGCCAAA